UACGAAGGGGGCUAGCGUUGCUCGGAAUCAUUGGGCGUAAAGGGUGCGUAGGCGGGGCUUUAAGUCAGGGGUGAAAUCCUGGAGCUCAACUCCAGAACUGCCUUUGAUACUGAGGAUCUUGAGUUCGGGAGAGGUGAGUGGAACUGCGAGUGUAGAGGUGAAAUUCGUAGAUAUUCGCAAGAACACCAGUGGCGAAGGCGGCUCACUGGCCCGAUACUGACGCUGAGGCACGAAAGCGUGGGGAGCAAACAGG
rnacentral:rRNA from 1 species